AGAUGUGGUCUUGCUAUGUUGCCCGGGCUGAGUGCAGUGACUAUUCACAGGCCGGAUCUAGUGCACUGCAGUCUUGAACUCCUGGCUUACAGUCCUGCUGGUUCUGAGAGGCAGGGGAAGAAACGGCCACCAUGCUCUGCAGCUAGGUCUCAGCAUGAGGACCAAGAACCCUGGUGUUCCUCCACUCAUCGGAGCCGUAUCAUUUUGGUGCAUUGGCCAGGAAAGGAAAUUCAAUCAUGAGACUGGACCUUUGGCAAGUAAAGGGAGACUUAGGCUGGUUUUCUGAUGACCUUAAUAAGUAUAUGGAAGCUUUCCAAUAUUUAACUCAGGUAUGUAACCUCUCAUGAAGGGAUGUUAUGUUGCUGCUAAGGCAAACCCUUACUGUAGGUAAAAUAAGCAGCUCUGCAAGCAGAAGAAAAUUUUGGAGAUAAGUAAUGUCUCCUAUAGAAGGCCAAAAGGGAAAAGAAAAAAAUAGGGAAGGCAAAGGGGAAACACCAUUCCCAAUAGGAAAAGAGGCAAUACCUCCUGACAACCCUAAUUGGAACUCCUUUCUGUGGUGUUUUUCCUUGUUUUGCAGUUUAAAAUGGCUUCUCUUUUAUAAUGUUCUUCCAACAUGGAAAAGGUUAAUUUUCCAAACCUUAAAAUGUUUGGCAUAGAGUUGAGCUAGGGGGAAGGAAACCCAGCCCAGAAGCCUGAUAUGCUGGCAAAAGGGUAAAAAUUUCUUACCAGUCAGGCUUUUGGCUUCUCUCUUCCUGUGGAAACCGGCAAAAGGGAUAAUAAAGAUCAUUGUUUAUGUUUUCUUUAAAUUUAUAGUUAAUGAAAAAGGAUUUGUGAGGUUGGUCUUAAGCUGUAAACAAUCUGCUCUUCUUUGUAUGUCUUUCUGUGUGGUUCUGUUAAAGAAAAGGUAUCUUAGGUCAGGAUGCAGGCCCAGAAACCCAUAAGCCUGCUGUUCAAACCAGCCCAGCAAAGUAUCCAGUGGCAAACUUGGCUACAGGCCUCCAUCUUGUUUCAUGUCAUGGGAACAUAAUCUGUAACCAUGUGGCAAUACUUUGUUUUUGUCUCCGCCAUUUUACAAUGGUGGCUGUCUUCUUGUGCUAAAUCAGAUAAGCCAGUUUGUCAGUCUGGGCUGUGUCAGCUGAUCCAUCAAGGGCAGGGUUUACAAAACAUCUUAAGCACUGAUCAUAACAGCCGUUUAGGGAGGGUCAAAAUCUUGUAGCCUCCAAUUGCAUGGCUCUUGGGCCAUGGUUUCUAAUCCUGUAGCUAGUUUCUUGGUCUGGUCCCCAGGCAAAAGGGAAGUAUAUCUUGAGAAGCAGCUGCUAUCUUCUUUGUUUUAGACUAUAAACUGUAAACCAAGCUCCUCCCCAACUUGAUUCAGCCUAUGCCCGGGGAUGGGCAAGGACAGUUUGGGGACUGGAAACAAAAUGGAGUUGUUUGGGUGAGAUCUCUUCCACUGUCUCAGUCACAAUUUUGCAGUGACAGUUUCAAAAGCUGCCUGUCCGGGUGGAUCACGAGGUCAGGAGUUCAAGACCAGCCUAGUCAACAUGACGAAACCCUGUCUCUACUAAAAAAACAAAAAUUAGCCAGGCGUGGUGGCAUGCACCUGUAGUCCUGGCUACUCAGGAAGCUGAGGCAGAGGAAUUGCUUGAACCCAGGAGGCAGAGGUUGCAGUGAGCCAAGAUCAUGCUACUGCACUCCAGCCUGGGUGACAGAGCAAGACUCUGUCUCAGCAAAAAAAAAAAAAAAAAAAAAAAGCUGCCUGUCACUCCUUUAAAAAUACCUUUUACACUCCUGGUUAAGUCAUAACCUAAUUAAAGCUCUUUAGUUUUACCUGUGAGGUUACUUAUUGUAAAGUUCAAAAGCCAAAAAUCUUAACUGCUUGGCAUGGCUAAGGUCAAGUAACAAAGGAUUUAGAAGAAUUUUCUUAAAGAGUGCUCAGCUUAAUUAAAAGUGGAAAAUCAAGUUAUAGGUAUAUUAAAAGGCCUUUAUGUUUUUUCUUUUCUUGAAUCUUGUUUUUCUGGAAAAAGGCUCAUCUCAGCCGACUGAAUUAUUUUUCUCCAUUUUUUGUCUUACUACUCUUAAUGCAUGUAUAAAAGGCCCUAAGAUAACUUCUGGUAGCAUGGGACUCCUCAGGAAACACAGAGGAGGCGCCACAGACCCCGUUUUGGGAAAAAACCCUCUGUUUUCCUCAUGAAACCCCAGGAAUUAAAAGCAAAUAAUUCCCUCUCAAAAUCAAAGGCUCUGUUCUGUUUUGCAUUGUGUUAUCUGAUGGUUUUGAGUUUUGGGGGUAUCAGAAAUUACUUCGCAUUUUUACAAGAAAGCUUUGGUGUGUAAUAAUCAAGUAGAAAAUACACUGUAAGGGAUGGCUAAUAGUAGUUAUAAAUCAGGGAUGCUCUUGGCCACCUGGAAGAUAAGGAAACAUCCUCACCCUGCACUGGGAGAUGAGACUCCCAUCAGGGAUGGGCUAAUUACAAAAUAAGCCAAUUGGCUUUGGGCUGCCUUGCAAUGCAAUGCAUGGUAGAAGCACUACACCGUCCUCUCCCAUAGUAUCUAUAUGGUCUUUUCAUAAAUUAAGCAUUAAAAUAAAAGCAUAGCAAGGAGGUCUUAAGACACUAAUCUGCCCCUUAGUAAAAGGGUUAUAAAAGGUUUGUAAAGAUUUCACCUUGGCCGGGUGCGGUGGCUCACACCUGUAACCCCAGCACUUUGGGAGGCCGAGGCGGGCAGAUCACCUGAGGUCGGGAGUUCGAGACCAGGCUGACAAACAUGGAGAAGCCCCGUUUCUACUAAAAAUACAAAAUUAGCCAGGGGUGGUGGCACAUGCCUGUAAUCCCAGCUACUUGGGAGGCUGAGGCAGGAGAAUCGCUUGAACCUGGGAGGCGGAGGUUGCAGUGAGCUGAGAUCAUGCCCUUGCACUCUAGCCUGUGCAACAAGAAUGAAACUCCAUCUCAAAAAAAAAAGAAAAAAAAAGAUUUCACCUCAUGGUCAAAUUGGUUAGGAUUUGAUGGAAUAAUCUAUAAGGUUUCGUGUAAACAAAUUGGGGUUAACAUUAAUAAACUAAUGCAAGGGUAAAAUUUUGCUUUGAACAAGAUUUUCAUUUCAUAAUAAAGGCUAAUGAAAGGAUUUUGCCUUUUGAGUCAUCAUUUUGGCAAAAUAAUUUAUGGCAAUCUGGAAAUUGUCCUUCCUGAUACCUAACUUUUUGAAUGGUUUAGAGGGGCCCUGAAACAUUCAGAAAAGAGGUAAACAGG
rnacentral:lncRNA from 10 species